UAUUAUUUUAGCGGCGGACGGGUGAGUAACGUGUGGGUAACCUGCCUUUUACUGUGGAAUAAUCGUUGGAAACGACGACUAAUACCGCAUACGAUUUUCUGAAGGCAUCUUUGGGAAAAGAAAGGAAAUAUUCGGUAAAAGAUGGGCCCGCAUCUGAUUAGCUAGUUGGUGAGAUAAUAGCCCACCAAGGCAACGAUCAGUAGCCGACCUGAGAGGGUGACCGGCCACAUUGGGACUGAGACACGGCCCAAACUCCUACGGAAGGCAGCAG
rnacentral:rRNA from 1 species